rnacentral:rRNA from 1 species
UGUGACUGCGUACCUUUUGUAUAAUGGGUCAGCGACUUAUAUUCUGUAGCAAGGUUAACCGAAUAGGGGAGCCGAAGGGAAACCGAGUCUUAACUGGGCGUUAAGUUGCAGGGUAUAGACCCGAAACCCGGUGAUCUAGCCAUGGGCAGGUUGAAGGUUGGGUAACACUAACUGGAGGACCGAACCGACUAAUGUUGAAAAAUUAGCGGAUGACUUGUGGCUGGGGGUGAAAGGCCAAUCAAACCGGGAGAUAGCUGGUUCUCCCCGAAAGCUAUUUAGGUAGCGCCUCGUGAAUUCAUCUCCGGGGGUAGAGCACUGUUUCGGCAAGGGGGUCAUCCCGACUUACCAACCCGAUGCAAACUGCGAAUACCGGAGAAUGUUAUCACGGGAGACACACGGCGGGUGCUAACGUCCGUCGUGAAGAGGGAAACAACCCAGACCGCCAGCUAAGGUCCCAAAGUCAUGGUUAAGUGGGAAACGAUGUGGGAAGGCCCAGACAGCCAGGAUGUUGGCUUAGAAGCAGCCAUCAUUUAAAGAAAGCGUAAUAGCUCACUGGUCGAGUCGGCCUGCGCGGAAGAUGUAACGGGGCUAAACCAUGCACCGAAGCUGCGGCAGCGACGCUUAUGCGUUGUUGGGU